UUAAUUUAUAAUCUCUGACCCAAGACAGCAGGUGCAAAGCCGCUUAAUCUGAACAAGGCCCGCCGAGGCAGAGACCUAACACUCUAGAGACCUAUUAUUGUAGGUGAGGUGUUAAAGUCUUUGCGUUGGCGCGCAAAGACUUUUUGCUUAAAGGA
rfam:Anaerolineaceae bacterium 4572_32.1 ex4572_32.1_scaffold_8967, whole genome shotgun sequence.